rnacentral:lncRNA from 1 species
CAGCUGGCACCUUGAUCUUGGACAUCCAGCCUCCAGAACUGUGUUGAAUCUUCUCCAUUUCUCAAGUUCCAUCAGAGUUCCUGAUUGAUUCCUCUGUAGAGCCUUGUCUGCCACCCUAGAAAGCAAAAACAAAAAAGUUACCAUUUGGAGGUAGAAAUGGUUCACCACAAGACACCCAGAUGGCAAUAGGAUUUCUGAGGAUGAGGGAGCUGCAUCUUGCUUUUGUUUCUCAGAGUCUCUCUGGAGAAAGGAUUCAUCUAGAGCCCAUAAAACCAAAUCACGCAAGAUGGAAAAACAGGAUGAAAGAUUAAAAUUUUUGUCCAAGACCAUAAAAGCCAGCUGUGGAUCCCUGGGUGAAUCUUGGAGUUGCUAACUUCUGUAUUUUGCUUAGUUUAUUGAGUAACAAUACCUUAAUUUAAAAAAAAUAUUUUCAGCCAAAGAGGUGAGGGAAUAGAUAUGUGCGCUUGCAAGGAAGUCUGCAGGGUAACUCCAUAUCAUAUCAAAUAUCACUUGUAAAAUACAUUGCUAAAGGCAUUGGCCAGAGUGAAUAGUCAAGAUAAUCACCAAGUAGUGCAAGGACAAAGCUGGGUUUGGGCCUUCUAGCUUCUUCUCUCUUCCUAUGACUGUGAGGAGCAGCCCCCAAGGCAGACCAGGUAGUUCCUCCUAACACAGCCCCUGCUUCCCCAAUUUGAAAAUAAAAUAAAACAUCCUAUCAACACAUAAAUGCCCAGAUACUCCAGAUGGUGAAUGAGGUGGCAUCUCUUGGAUGAUUCAGAUGACAUACAACUUGAAGCUGGCAUGAGAAACAAGGCAGAAAAAGGCAUUCAGUCUAUCACAAGAAGGAAGAAAAUCCAGUAGCUUUGUUUUCCUCUUUCUUAUAGAUCUCUGCUCUAGAGCCAAUCUAAAAACUGAAUUCUGGUUUCUAGUUUUUCUAAGUCUGUAUCCACUGACAUACAAUCAAAUAAAAUGUCUUUAAGUAAACAGAGAUCUUCAUCUCAUCAGCUUUAACUGGUGAAUCUGGCCAGGGACAUUUAUCA